rnacentral:lncRNA from 1 species
GCUAUGUGUUUUAAGACCAGUGUGAUAGCGGUGCAGUGACCGUGAGGGAACAUUCCGGUACUUUGUGUACCCAACAUCAAGAGAUGCCUCUCUGCUCUGCACUCAGCCACUGACAUUAUGUAAUGUGUGAAGUAAGGGUUGCUCUUGUCUCGAGGAAUGGGAACGGGAACUGACUGAAGUGCCUCAGCUGUGGAUGACCAAAUAUGUCGCUGCCCACAUGAAGAAAUACUAUGGGGCUACAAGAGGAGCAACAACUCUUCCUCCAGAUGAAAGUGCUCCAUAAGGAGGAGAAGAGACAGAGGAAAGAACAGAUGUUAAAUAAUUACCAAAUAGUUCUGUGUGCAAACAAGUAACUAAUGUGAAACAUAGCAAUGUCCAAACAUUGCUAGGGAAAUUACCCAAGAUGCCGUAAUAUUUUGAUGAAAAAAGCAUAACUUUUCUUAAAAAUAAUAAAUUAAAAUUAGUUUUGAACCACACAGUGUUGACAACUGCAACAUUUUCUA